UGAGAUGUGAUGAUCCUUUCCCCAAAUGAUCGACGAUGAAUACACUGCGCGUGUUUCUUUAUCUACCCCUCAUUUUUGAGGAGGAAGAUUCAAGCCAGCGAUUCUGAUCUCC
rnacentral:snoRNA from 1 species